rnacentral:rRNA from 1 species
UACGUAGGGGGCAAGCGUUGUCCGGAUUCAUUGGGCGUAAAGAGCGUGUAGGCGGCCAGGUAGGUCGGUUGUGAAAACUGGAGGCUCAACCUUCAGAGGUCGACCGAAACCAUCUGGCUGGAGUCCGGGAGAGGAGAGUGGAAUUCCUGGUGUAGCGGUGAAAUGCGCAGAUAUCAGGAAGAACACCCGUGGCGAAAGCGGCUCUCUGGAACGGUACUGACGCUGAGACACGAAAGCGUGGGGAGCGAACAGG